rnacentral:rRNA from 1 species
AUUGAACGCUGGCGGCAGGCCUAACACAUGCAAGUCGAGCGGAUGAAGGGAGCUUGCUCCUGGAUUCAGCGGCGGACGGGUGAGUAAUGCCUAGGAAUCUGCCUGGUAUUGGGGGAUAACGUCCGUAAACGGGCGCUAAUACCGCAUACGUCCUGAGGUAGAAAGUGGGGGAUCUUCGGACCUCACGCUAUCAGAUGAGCCUAGGUCGUAUUAGCUAGUUGGUGUGGUAAAGGCCUACCAAGGCGACGAUCCGUAACUGGUCUGAGAGGAUGAUCAGUCACACUGGAACUGAGACACGGUCCAGACUCCUACGGGAGGCAGCAGUGGGGAAUAUUGGACAAUGGGCGAAAGCCUGAUCCAGCCAUGCCGCGUGUGUGAAGAAGGUCUUCGGAUUGUAAAGCACUUUAAGUUGGGAGGAAGGGAAGUAAGUUAAUCCCUUGCUGUUUUGACGUUACCAACAGAAUAAGCACCGGCUAACUUCGUG